rnacentral:rRNA from 1 species
AGCAGUAGCCGCGGUAAUACGUAGGGUGCGAGCGUUAAUCGGAAUUACUGGGCGUAAAGCGUGCGCAGGCGGUUCUGUAAGACAGAGGUGAAAUCCCCGGGCUCAACCUGGGAACUGCCUUUGUGACUGCAAGGCUAGAGUACGGCAGAGGGGGAUGGAAUUCCGCGUGUAGCAGUGAAAUGCGUAGAUAUGCGGAGGAACACCGAUGGCGAAGGCAAUCCCCUGGGCCUGUACUGACGCUCAUGCACGAAAGCGUGGGGAGCAAACAGGAUUAGAUACCCCAGUAGUCCCUGUCUCUUAUAC